rnacentral:rRNA from 1 species
CUCCAUAUAUAUAAAUUAUAUUAUAUAUAUUAUUAUAUUAUUAAUUAAUAUAAUGAAAAGGAAUUAAGACAAAUCAUAAUGACCUUUAUAAUAUGGGCUAUAAACAUACUAUAAUAAAAUGAAAAUAAAAUUAUAUAAAUUGAAUGAAUUAAUAAUAUAAAACAUUUUAAUCUUUAAUAUAUUUUUUAUAUUAUAUUUAAUAUGAAUUAUAAUCUGAAAUUCGAUUAUAUGAAAUAAGAAUUACUAGUAAUACGUAAAUAAUUAAGUUACGGUGAAUAAUUUAACUGUUUCGCACUAAUCACUCAUCACGUAUUGAAACAUAAUAUAAUCUAACAAAUAUAUAUAUAUUUGAUAAUUAAUUUUAUCUUAUAUAUUAUAUUUUAAGAAAUAUAAUGAAUUAAUACGAAGUUGAAA